rnacentral:rRNA from 1 species
ACUCAAAGGAAUUGACGGGGACCCGCACAAGCAGCGGAGCGUGUGGUUUAAUUCGAUGCUACACGAAGAACCUCACCCAGGUUUGACAUAUAAGUAGUAGUGAACCGAAAGGGGAACGACCCGCAAGGGAGCUUAUACAGGUGUUGCAUGGCUGUCGUCAGCUCGUGUCGUGAGAUGUUCGUUUAAGUACGCUAACGAGCGCAACCCUUACUGCCAGUUACAAGUGUCUGGCGGGACUGCCGGCCACAAGCCGGAGGAAGGCGAGGAUGACGUCAAGUCAGCAUGGCCUUUAUAUCUGGGGCUACACACACGCUACAAUGGGUCGGUACAAUGGGUCGCCAAGCCGCGAGGCGGAGCCAAUCCCACAAAACGAUCCUCAGUUCAGAUUGCAGGCUGCAACUCGCCUGCAUGAAGUCGGAGUUGCUAGUAAACGCGCGUCAGCUAUAGCGCGUUGAAUACGUUCCCGGGUCUUGUACACACCGCCCGU